UACCAUGCAGUCGACGAUGAAGCUGGAGCUUGCUCUGGUGGAUUAGUGGCGAACGGGUGAGUAACACGUGAGUAACCUGCCCUGGACUCUGGGAUAAGCGUUGGAAACGACGUCUAAUACCGGAUAGGACCUCGGAUCGCAUGAUCUGGGGUGGAAAGUUUUUCGGUCUGGGAUGGACUCGCGGCCUAUCAGCUUGUUGGUGAGGUAAUGGCUCACCAAGGCGUCGACGGGUAGCCGGCCUGAGAGGGUGACCGGCCACACUGGGACUGAGACACGGCCCAGACUCCUACGGGAGGCAGCAGUGGGGAAUAUUGCACAAUGGGCGCAAGCCUGAUGCAGCAACGCCGCGUGCGGGAUGACGGCCUUCGGGUUGUAAACCGCUUUUAGUAAGGAAGAAGGGGCUUCGGCCUUGACGGUACUUGCAGAAAAAGGACCGGCUAACUACGUGCCAGCAGCCGCGGUAAUACGUAGGGUCCGAGCGUUGUCCGGAAUUAUUGGGCGUAAAGAGCUCGUAGGCGGUUUGUCGCGUCUGCUGUGAAAACUAGAGGCUCAACCUCUAGCCUGCAGUGGGUACGGGCAGACUUGAGUGCGGUAGGGGAGAAUGGAAUUCCUGGUGUAGCGGUGGAAUGCGCAGAUAUCAGGAGGAACACCGAUGGCGAAGGCAGUUCUCUGGGCCGUAACUGACGCUGAGGAGCGAAAGCGUGGGGAGCGAACAGGAUUAGAUACCCUGGUAGUCCACGCCGUAAACGUUGGGCGCUAGAUGUGGGGACCUUUCCACGGUUUCCGUGUCGUAGCUAACGCAUUAAGCGCCCCGCCUGGGAGUACGGCCGCAAGGCUAAAACUCAAAGGAAUUGACGGGGCCCGCACA
rnacentral:rRNA from 1 species